UUGUAUGCGACUAAUUUCGAAACUCUGGCAAACGUGAAACGUGUAUGGGGAACAGUGGGAAGAAUAGAAAGUACAAGUGAAUUAUUUCUCGAUGUAAUAUGGCCACAGAUGUGAACGAUAAUAUCGAAUCAGCGUGCAACUCGCUUCUUACAACAGUUGCAAACGGAUCACAAUUUAUCGAAGCAAACUACUGGCGACAUUACGUCAUUCCGACAAAGAAAAAUAAAUUAAUCGAAUAAAUUACUUCGCAUCGUAAAUAUCUUAUGAUUGUGUACAACUAUUCAUUAACUAUAUUUUGGUGGGUCCAAAGAGAUCUGUUUCGGCAAAUAAAUUGACACAAAUGACUUCAAUGGGUUUCUAUUGUUUUCGGCGAAUGAAAGGUUAAGACGAAAAGGCAGAUUCGCGACGUUCUGAGCUCGAGGGCAGCGUGGAUGGAUGCGAAGAAACCCCCAUUAAGUUGUUACGCCGACUUAUCCUCCUGCACGUCGAUUAAUCGCCGACUCAGUUCGGUGCAACGACAUUUCGCCUUCCUCAUAGGAAGGCGUCUUUCGCCGCUCUUUUCGUUUUUUCCGCACGAAAUUCCGCCUCAAGCUUGUAGACGAGAAGCGCCACUCGAAAAGGACGUUCGAUACGAGGAAGAGGUUAGGUCCUCGCCCGCGGACCCCUCUCGACCGUUCUCGUGAUAGCUGUGAGGGCCGUUUAUUAAGGAAAGAUUUACUCGUUGAGCCGUCUCUGGACCGAUUUCUGCAGGUUUUUGACCGCUCUAGGAAUUCAUCCUCCGCGCGGAUGAACGUUACACUUCAUGGUUUCAUGGCCCAUUCCACGCCUUCCAGAAUUUUGUCCCUCGAGGAAAGGGUUCAUUUCGAAAGAAUUCUUUUCCUGCGUCUCUAACUUCUUUGAAAAUGAAGCUUAUAAUUUGCAAAACUCGAAUAUUUUUAUUCUACAAUGAAGAAUGGAUUAAACACAAUAAUGGAUUGAGCACAACGUUGAAAAUAAAUAAUAUAUCCGCUUCGUAACUUUCAAUCAUCCCAAAACUACGCUGAAACGAAAUAUAAAUACGACAAAAGUGAAAUGAAUAAUAUUUACUUGUCUUGAAAAAAUUACGUAAACUUAUCGAUAUUUCUUAUCGAUGCGGCGAUCACGUAACAUACACGAAAUACAAUACGACUUGUGAAUAUGAUUCCAAACUGUGGCAAUCAGAGCUUGGUGUUCCCGAUGUUCAUCUCAACAAUGGAAGCCCAUCGUCACUUUUGAGAGACAUCCGGCAGCCUCUUUGGUCGCCUCUUUUUUCUUUUCGGAAUCGGCUCACCGCUGCGAGAAUCCUCUUCUACGAAUCGCGUUUGGCCAAUCCAAAAGAGACUGUACGGUCGUGCAGUCUCGUGCUCCUUUUAUUUUACGGCGCUGUGUGCAAAUUGGCCAGAGGAUUAGAAUCGCGAGCAUAGGCUGCGUGCUGCGUGCCCCGGAGCGAUGAAUUAUUAUUGUCUCGUGCCACACGCAGCCACGCUUCGCGUUUUAUGCACCCGUAUAUACACGUAUACGAGCAUCCUCGAAACCGAAAUAGAUCGAGGUCUCGAUGGUUGAAUUAUCCUUCUGCCUUCAUUGUCCUUUCAACCCGGCUAUGUAACUACGUACGUUUCAAAGUUCUCGAUAUCUUGAUCUUCGCUUCCAACGUUCGCCUCCCACAACAUCACUGAACACGUGCAUAUUCAGCUUGCACACACUUCCCACCGAAUUACCUUCAUGGAGCAAGAUUGUCCAGUGGAAAGCGAGACGGGACAAUGGAAAGGAACGCGGUUAGAAAUAGUUUUGGAUCGAGCAGAGAGAGAGAGAGAGAAUUUUUGCGUCGCUCGUCGAGGAGGAAUGUCGGUUUCGAGGUGGAGGAGGCACGCCACGAGUUAUUGACUCGUUUGAUCCUGGGUUACGCCCCGACCUACCUUAACUCUGACUUACUAUCUUGCCACGAGAGGUUUCGGCCCACGACGCAACGCCGCCGAUUUCCGUUUCGAUUCGAGGAACAUCGUUCACCUCGUUUCUUUCCGUCUCUCGGAUAAUGAAUAGCGAAUAAUGAAAAUCCUUUCCUCCGAUUGGAGGAGGAAUAAGAUGGAAAUUGUUUCUGUCGUCAUUUCAUUGAAAAGAAUUCGCGCUACUUUUGUAUUACUGAGGAAUUUCAGGGUUUAGUUAUAAACCCUAGAGUUCUUAUAAAACCCAAAAUGUAUGAUGGAGUUAAAAUUUUUUGGAAUGCAGAAAUGAAAUGUAAAGCAAUCUUUGAGCAAUCUAUUUCCAUCGUAAUCUCUUGAAACGAAUGAAGAGGUGAAGCAAAAUUUACAAAUAUAUAUGGUGUCAACAUUAACAUUAACAAUUAUUUAUAUAAGAUACCGCAUGAAUUAGCAUCUCCAAUGUAUCCAGCAUUAAAAUUAUUUUCUCUUUUAGGUACAUUUCACUUUGAACGGAUUUCGAAUAUUUUUUCUUCGUCGAAUCUACGUUUUGCAGAAAGUUGAAAUUCGCUUCUUUUUCAUUAUUCGUGCAAGAAGCGACAGUUUGACUCGAUGCCAAUAAAGAAAAACUAAUACAAUUAUCGCUGGGAUGCACAAGAAUCGAGUGAAUAUGUGAAACAAAUAUCUUUACAACUUACAUAUCUCGAUUAUCUUUAAACUCAUAGUUCAUUUUCUUAUUUUUUAUUUCUUGCUGAAAAUCGUCUUUUCAUUGAAUUCCAUAUUUUUCAGGGUCCAAGUUAGAUGGUUCAUCCAAGAGAAUCCCUCAAUUGAAGGAAAAGCACAAUUUUAUCCCAGUCUACGAAUAAUCGCGCUAAUUUCAACGUGGAAGAUAUUUCUUCUUCUCCCUGCGCUGGAAGCACGAAGUUCCACGCGUCGAAUCGCCGAUCUCCUCCAGAAACGCCAUUGCAAUCGUACUCCAAGAAUCGAUCGAUUGAAUCGGAUUCGCUCAUAGAAUUGGAAUUCCACGUUUCUCCAAAUCAUAUUACAUUCAACAAGUUGACCAACUAUCGAUAUUCGAUAGCAUAACACGUCAAUUUUCUUCCAUCGAUGCCUGUAAACGAAAUGCAACACCGGAAAAAUUUAAUAUCGGAAGUUACGAAUAAAGUUACUUCGAUAAUUUAUCGUUCAAAAUAUAAUAAUAAUCACAAUAAUAAUAAUAGUAGGUCAAUCAUAAUAACUACGAACAAAUAGUUAUUAUAUAUAGAGCUUACUUUAAUAAGUAAUUACUAACUUGAAGUAACUUUAUUCGAAAUUUUUAAUUUUUUCAACUACGGGUUAAUAAUGCCCAAUUCUGGCGAAAAAUCGUGGAGCGUGGAGAGACUUGCCUCUAGGUGGAGGUGGCACACCUGCCCUCGAACGUGGAGAAGAGGAGAGAGAGGAGAGUCGCGCACGUAUGUUGGAAGAUGCGCCGACAGACACGCCCUGAUUAAACGGUGAUGAAUGCGCGAAAAAAGGGGGGAGGGGAUCGAAAGAUCGGUGGCAAAUCGACGCUUGUCCCCUUUUCCAUCUCGAAUCCGCCGCCGGGAAUGCAAAUGAUGUAUCCGUCUCUAGGAGGGUAUCCAAGCCUCCCCCGUAAAACACCGUGACUUAUCAUGCUUAAUUACACGGUCUACCGUUGAAUUAUCGCCGUUUUACGAUAUUAAAGAGGCGGCAAUUAGCCGCGUUCGAUGCCGUUUUCGUUUCCUUCCUUCGGGGUCUAGAUCCUUUCUUCCAUCCAAUCAAGAAUACGUCUGUGUUCGCGACGCCUGUAUAAUAUAUGUAACGCGGAAUAUAAAGCAGCAGGGCGUACCCUUUUUGAAAAUAACACGUUCCUUCGAGAGAUAGAGAUAGGCUAGGUUUCUAUGUGAAAUUGUUUAUCGGGUAAUCUGGUGCGCUACCCUACAGGUAUCGAAGAGUGUAGGUUCCUCGCGAGAGAAAUAUCGGUAUAGAUAUCACCUAUUACCGCAAUUAUACCUCGUAUUUCAUUUACCACGAUUCUUUCGAUAUCUAAAAAAAAAUAAAAAAAAAAAAAAAAAAAAAAAAAAAAAAAAAAAAAAAAAAAAAAAAAAAAAAGAAAAAGGAACGUAUUCUUUUUUCAACGGUCCAAUCACAUGAGAGAAUGGAUUAAUUGUUCCGUUGAAAUUUCCAUCGAUGGAAAUGGCGAAUAACGCACGCUUGUUUACUUAAAAAAAUCGGCCGUAUCAUUUUUCUCAUUGCGCGUUGUCGGCUCAUUUUUUCGAGCGGUGGCGCUCGAAGCCGAAAAGGGGUGGAAGAUACAUAGCGCGAUGCCCUGAGCGGACGCCGACCCAUUUCUCUUUCGCGCCUCUUUCUCUCUCGUUAACGCGACUCUAUCGCCGUUUCAUCCACGGUGCGCGUUUAAACGCCCCCGGUCCCGUCAACCUGAUUUCACUAACGAACCCGCCAAUUUAUAUUAUCGAUCGGAUCGUGUGUCCGCAGUAGGCCAACUUGACCAAGGAUUCAUCGUUAAACCGGUACCCGGCAGCAACGCUGCACCCUUAUCGUUUGCAUCCGCCAUCCUAUUGCCAGUGGCCGUUUUUUUUUUUUUUUUUUGUUUUCAAACCGUUCUCUCCAACUUUCCAUCUCUUCGAAUCUCUUCUAUCGAACGAUAACCGGUCCUUCCACCUACUCUAUAUAUAUAUAUAAUCAUUCACGAAUUGAGAAUGUUUCGAAAGAAUAGAAAUAAAGCUGGAUCGAAAGGACAUUUUGUUUCAAUCGUUAACACGUUCAACCUUGGAAUACGCGAAGGAAUUUCAAGUGCACGUCGAUCGUGGCGAAUACGUUGCUAUGAACCGUGAAAUGGAGGGACGAUUUGCGGCUUGAUGUCUUUCUCUGCAUGGUGAAUGUCCGCGAUAGAGGAGAUAGAAGAUAGAAGGGAGAGGCGCACGAACGCUUGGCUAUUUUAAUUAUCGAUGCGCGAUCGAGACAGCACAGGUCGUACGUUGGUGCUCGAUGCGCGAUACAGAUCGAUUGUAAACCUUCGUAGUCUCGAUCCAUUAUUAUACGGCUCAUCGUUUAAUAUAAUUUUCGAUCUCUCGUUGCGAUACGAUAUCUGGUCGAUAUCAAAAUUCGCGUAUAAAAAAUCAUAUAAAAAUUUCAUAAUUCGUAUAUUUUGUCGAUUUCGAAAGCGUGUGGCUUCCGUGUUGUAUUCGAUGUUGUAUCCUUAGAAUUAACGAUCUGUUCGUAUUAUCCUCCGUCCUCUCUGUUCGGUGAACGGUUACGCGGUGACAGUGCAAAAACGUACGGUCAAUGGAAUCGGACGUGGAUGACGCGCCAAACAGAGAUGUACGCUCAACGCCACUCCAUCGAAUUAUAGCAGCGUUGGUAUAUAGCGGUGGACACUGCUCGCCCCGUCCUCCAACCGUUAAAUCGAUUAAUCCGACGAGGAAUGCGCGAAUCAUCAAUGCCACGGCUGUGCAACGCACUUCUUCUUCCCGAUUCUAUGCCGAUUCUCUUCUGCUCCGCCAAAGAUUGCUCGCGUUGUCUCCUACCUAACCGUUAUUGUGCUAGGGACUUUUCGAGAAAGGUGGUAUUAGCGGUCGCGCGUAAUUGUGCAGUCAAGCGAGACAUGCUUCCACGCAUCCAUUGUCAGCGAGUGAUUUUGCUUCGUUCAAAGGGAUUGGACAAUUUUUUAUUUAGGUUUUAUUAAGUGGUAUGAAUGAGUUGAGAAUUUUUAUCUUAAUCUCAAACUUUACGAAAGGAGAAUGGUUUGUACUUUUUACGAGUUGGAGAUAUUGAACGAUGUAAAAUCAAAGAGAUAAACGAUGACGAGAAAUUGUUUGUUCGAGAGAUUCAUCGGAAGUGUAACAUUUCGAGAUUUCUCUUUACGAAGCGUUCACUCGUGAAGUCAUUGUGCCCGUAUCGCUCGAUGAAAUUUAGGCAUUGAAUUGCUUUUGAACGAUGCAAGAGAGCAUCGACGUGUCUCGACGAGCAGCGCAUAAUACCGAAGUUGACGCGUAGCAAACGAGAUCGAGGAAAUAGCAAAGUCAUGUAGACAUCAAGAAACCCGGACCUGUCCUACUGUUCUGCGUUACGGAGGUCCGGUGUAUAUAAAGCGAUUUACGUGAGAAUGUUUGCACUCCUUUAUUCGAAUUAUUC